UACGUAGGGGGCAAGCGUUGUCCGGAAUCAUUGGGCGUAAAGAGCGCGUAGGCGGCCCGAUAAGUCCGCUGUGAAAGUCAAGGGCUUAACCCUUGAAUGCCGGUGGAAACUGUCGGGCUAGAGUCCGGAAGAGGCGAGUGGAAUUCCUGGUGUAGCGGUGAAAUGCGCAGAUAUCAGGAGGAACGCCGAUGGCGAAGGCAGCUCGCUGGGACGGUACUGACGCUGAGGCGCGAAAGCGUGGGGAGCAAACGGG
rnacentral:rRNA from 1 species